CCUACGGGUGGCAGCAGUGAGGACUAUUGGUCAAUGGGCGCGAGCCUGAACCAGCCAAGUAGCGUGAAGGAUGACUGCCCUAAGGGUUGUACACUUCUUUUAUCAAGGAAUAACGUGAGGCCCGUGUGCCUUUUUGUAUGUACUUUAUGAAUAAGGAUCGGCUAACUCCGUGCCAGCCGCCGCGGUAAUACGGAGGAUCUGAGCGUUAUCCGGAUUUAUUGGGUUUAAAGGGAGCGUAGAUGGGUUGUUAAGUCAGUUGUGAAAGUUUGCGGCUCAACCGUAAAAUUGCAAUUGAUACUGGCAGCCUUGAGUACAGUUGAGGUAGGCGGAAUUCGUGGUGUAGCGGUGAAAUGCUUAGAUAUCACGAAGAACUCCGAUUGCGAAGGCAGCUUACUAAACUGCCACUGACAUUGAUGCUCGAAAGUGUGGGUAUCAAACAGGAUUAGAGACCCCUGUAGUC
rnacentral:rRNA from 1 species